rnacentral:rRNA from 1 species
AGAGUUUGAUUCUGGCUCAGGACGAACGCUGGCGGCGUGCCUAACACAUGCAAGUCGAACGGACGAGGGGAGCUUGCUCCCCAAGUUAGUGGCGGACGGGUGAGUAACACGUGAGCAACCUGCCCUUCGGAGGGGGACAACAGCUGGAAACGGCUGCUAAUACCGCAUGAUGUAUUCUGGAGGCAUCUCCGGGAUACCAAAGAUUUUAUCGCCGAAGGAUGGGCUCGCGUCUGAUUAGAUAGUUGGCGGGUAACGGCCCACCAAGUCAACGAUCAGUAGCCGGACUGAGAGGUUGAACGGCCACAUUGGGACUGAGAUACGGCCCAGACUCCUACGGGAGGCAGCAGUGGGGAAUAUUGGGCAAUGGGGGGCAACCCUGACCCAGCAACGCCGCGUGAAGGAAGAAGGCUUUCGGGUUGUAAACUUCUUUGACGAGGGACGAUAGUGACGGUACCUCGAAAACAAGCCACGGCUAACUACGUGCCAGCCGCGGC